UUACCUAGGUUUGUACAUCCGGAAAACCUCCCAAAAAGGAAGGGUGCCCUUCGGGGAAUUCCGAGACAGGUGCUGCAUGGCUGUCGUCAGCUCGUGCCGUGAGGUGUUGGGUAAGUCCCGCAACGAGCGCAACCCCUAUUGCCAGUUGCUACCAGGUAAUGCUGGGCACUCUGGUGAGACUGCCCCGGUUAACGGGGAGGAAGGUGGGGACGACGUCAAGUCAUCAUGGCCCUUACGCCUAGGGCUACACACGUACUACAAUGGCGCAUACAAAGGGCAGCGAUACCGCGAGGUGGAGCCAAUCCCAAAAAGUGCGUCCCAGUCCGGAUUGCAGUCUGCAACUCGACUGCAUGAAGUUGGAAUCGCUAGUAAUUCGAGAUCAGCAUGCUCGGGUGAAUGCGUUCCCGGGCCUU
rnacentral:rRNA from 1 species